rfam:Coccidioides immitis RMSCC 2394 supercont1.1 genomic scaffold, whole genome shotgun sequence.
GGUAAGAUGGCCGAGCGGUCCAAGGCGCCAGGUUAAGGUCCUGGUAGGGGAAACCCUGCGUGAGUUCGAAUCUCACUCUUAUCA